GUUGAAGGUAAGUAAGGGUGGAGCAGCUCUUCUUUAGUAAGAGCCAGGAGCAGAAGACUUGUCAGGUUCAGAACACAACUUCUCUCACAAUGUAAAGGCCAUGUGAUGAGUUGGGUGAGGCCUUUUAUAGCAGACUUGGCAUAUCACGCUAUGCAGGUGAGAGAGACUGAGGUGACUAGUGGCUAGGGAGGCCACUAGUGGUGAAAACUGGAACUGUAUAAAAUUAAACAAGUAGAAAUGAAA